AACGUAGGUUCCGAGCGUUAUCCGGAUUUACUGGGCGUAAAGCGUGUUCAGGCGGCUCAGCAAGUCGGGCAUAAAAUCUCUCGGCUCAACCGGGAGGGGCUGUCCGAAACUGCUGGGCUUGAGGGCAGUAGAGGGUGGUGGAAUUCCGGGUGUAGUGGUGAAAUGCGUAGAUAUCCGGAGGAACACCAGUGGCGAAAGCGGCCACCUGGACUGUACCUGACGCUCAAACACGAAAAGCUAGGGGAGCGAACAGG
rnacentral:rRNA from 1 species